rnacentral:SRP_RNA from 2 species
CCGUGCUAGACGGGGAGAUAGCGGCGCCCUGUAACCCGCAAUCCGCUCUAGCGGGGUUGAAUUCCUCAACUGAGGCUUAUAUCUGUUUGGUCAGCCUUUGACACGUGGUGUUGACGAUUUGGUCUUGCGCAAUGGAAGCCUGUGAACCAUGUCAGGUCCGGAAGGAAGCAGCAUUAAGCAGUGUUCUUCUAUGUGCCGCGAGGUAGCCUGAUCUGAGCUAACGAUCAGAGAAGCGCAGGUGGAUGUAUGUCGAAUUGAGGUGCACGG